rfam:Camelus ferus unplaced genomic scaffold scaffold227, whole genome shotgun sequence.
GAGGGUAUAGCUCAGGGGUACAGUGUAUGCCUAGCAUGCACUAGGUCCUGGGUUCAAGCCCCAGUACUUCCA